rnacentral:ncRNA from 1 species
AAAAACACUAUGAUGGAAAGAGUAAGUUUUUGCUUAACCGUUUCAGAAAGAGAUUCCUUUGGCUGAAAGAAUCUUACGAGAGCGUAACUGAAAGCUAAUCCAGAGUGCAGCUAAUCCCUGCCGUUCACUUACGUUACAGUGCUCGAGAUAUAAAAAAUGUAUCGUUUUGGAUGCAAUUUUUUAUAACGAGGGUGGUACCGCGAGAUAACAGUCUUCGUCCCUUAU